rnacentral:tRNA from 1 species
GUUCCUGUAGUUGAAUACAACGGUGGUUUUUCAAGUCAUUGGUCCUGGUUAAAACCCGGGCAGGAAUU